GGGGAAUUUUGGACAAUGGGCGCAAGCCUGAUCCAGCAAUGCCGCGUGCAGGAUGAAGGCCUUCGGGUUGUAAACUGCUUUUGUACGGAACGAAAAGCCUCUCUCUAAUACAGGGGGGUGAUGACGGUACCGGAAUAAGAAGCACCGGCUAACUACGUGCCAGCAGCCGCGGUAAUACGUAGGGUGCGAGCGUUAAUCGGAAUUACUGGGCGUAAAGCGUGCGCAGGCGGUUUUGUAAGACAGGCGUGAAAUCCCCGGGCUCAACCUGGGAACUGCGCUUGUGACUGCAAGACUAGAGUACGGCAGAGGGGGGUGGAAUUCCACGUGUAGCAGUGAAAUGCGUAGAGAUGUGGAGGAACACCAAUGGCGAAGGCAGCCCCCUGGGUCGAUACUGACGCUCAUGCACGAAAGCGUGGGGAGCAAACA
rnacentral:rRNA from 1 species